rnacentral:rRNA from 1 species
ACAUGCAAGUCGAACGGAAAGGCCCCAGCUUGCUGGGGUACUCGAGUGGCGAACGGGUGAGUAACACGUGGGUGAUCUGCCCUGCACUUCGGGAUAAGCCUGGGAAACUGGGUCUAAUACCGGAUAGGACCCUCCUUUAGUGUGGGGGGUGGAAAGUUUUUCGGUGUGGGAUGAGCCCGCGGCCUAUCAGCUUGUUGGUGGGGUAAUGGCCUACCAAGGCGUCGACGGGUAGCCGGCCUGAGAGGGUGGACGGCCACAUUGGGACUGAGAUACGGCCCAGACUCCUACGGGAGGCAGCAGUGGGGAAUAUUGCACAAUGGGCGGAAGCCUGAUGCAGCGACGCCGCGUGGGGGAUGACGGCCUUCGGGUUGUAAACCUCUUUCGACAGGGACGAAGCCUUUUGUGACGGUACCUGUAUAAGAAGCACCGGCUAACUACGUGCCAGCAGCCGCGGUAAU